CCUGUCCGAGCAGUUGUUACAGGGCACUUCAGCGUGACAUGAAUAGGCUUCCUCUGCGUGGCUUUGCAUAUCCUGCUCUUUUUAUCCGUUUAUUAUAGCCACGCCACAGGCUAUCUGUUGUUAUCUGCUGUAAGCUGCGGUGGUUUAAACAGGCCUCUAUUCAAAGCAGAUGAGCAGAACUUGGAAUAUUCAGCAAUAUCUAGCAGUCAGAUUCAAGACUGAACACUCCCUUUCUCACCCCCUCCCGUUGGUGAAGCGACAGUGGCCUCUGAGGACAAGAAGCUUCUGUGAUGCAUGUUAAGAAUUUGGAAUACCCACAGGAUCCUGGUGGAAACAGAACAAGGUGCAGGGACUGUCUGUGUAGUGUAGGUUUUCUCCCAACACUCCUUAGUCUUUCCCGUCCUUGUUUUUGGUGAGAGAAGAACAGAAGGAGAGAGAGAAAGAGACACAAGAAAGAGACAGAGAAAGAGAGCGUGUGUGAAAGUGUUGUCAGGAAGGUUGACUCUUGAGGCCGGCUGUGCUCUAAACACGCAGCAUCGAGGGAUGCUGUUGUGCCUUCGAGGUCCUGUCGCCAUGGGUCUGUAACCAAGGGUGCUACUCUGCGCCUCCAGGCAUUUCUUCUUCUCCGUUUCCAGUUCAUACUUAUAUUUACACCACAGGGAAUGUGAUUGUUUCUUUGUUAUCUUUGUUUCCUUGAAUAAGACAACAAAAAGACAGAGAGAGAGAACGGUAAACUCUGUUAUAUAAAGACAACAACUCAUUAUGAGCCAGCCAUGUGCACUCAGUGGUCCCCUUAUCAGAUAAACCUGCACAGGACAUCAUAUAUCAUGCUUACCUUCAGGACUACUCUGUGCACCAUUCUUUCGAUUAAUGUGAGAACAGUUUGGUCUACAAAACUUUAGAAAACAACAAUUUACUUCAAUGUUUGGUCAAUGAGAGCAGCAAAU